AGAGUUUGAUCAUGGCUCAGGACGAACGCUGGCGGCGUGCUUAACACAUGCAAGUCGAACGGAAAGGCCCCUUCGGGGGUACUCGAGUGGCGAACGGGUGAGUAACACGUGGGUGAUCUGCCCUGCACUUUGGGAUAAGCCUGGGAAACUGGGUCUAAUACCGAAUAGGACCGCAUGCUUCAUGGUGUGUGGUGGAAAGCUUUUGCGGUGUGGGAUGGGCCCGCGGCCUAUCAGCUUGUUGGUGGGGUAAUGGCCUACCAAGGCGACGACGGGUAGCCGGCCUGAGAGGGUGUCCGGCCACACUGGGACUGAGAUACGGCCCAGACUCCUACGGGAGGCAGCAGUGGGGAAUAUUGCACAAUGGGCGCAAGCCUGAUGCAGCGACGCCGCGUGGGGGAUGACGGCCUUCGGGUUGUAAACCUCUUUCAGUAUCGGCGAAGCUCCAGGAUUUUUCUUGGGGUGACGGUAGGUACAGAAGAAGCACCGGCCAACUACGUGUCAGCAGCCGCGGUAAUACGUAGGGUGCGAGCGUUGUCCGGAAUUACUGGGCGUAAAGAGCUCGUAGGUGGUUUGUCACGUUGUCCGUGAAAACUCACAGCUUAACUGUGGGCGUGCGGGCGAUACGGGCAGACUGGAGUACUGUAGGGGAGACUGGAAUUCCUGGUGUAGCGGUGGAAUGCGCAGAUAUCAGGAGGAACACCGGUGGCGAAGGCGGGUCUCUGGGCAGUAACUGACGCUGAGGAGCGAAAGCGUGGGGAGCGAGCAGGAUUAGAUACCCUGGUAGUCCAA
rnacentral:rRNA from 1 species